AUGCAGUUGGAACAAGGAAAGCUUUGCAUUGCAGUAAGAAGAAGGUGAACUUUGAAGUCCAAGAGAUAAUCCAGAUGAUAUUCAGAGGAACAGGGUGAGAGUAGCAAGGCUAGAAAGCAAGGGACUAUACUGGCUCACAACUCUGCUUCGCAUUGGAUCACCUAGAGGCUUAGAACCACAGAUCUCAGGCAAUGACUAUGGUGCCCUUUGAGAAUAAGAAGAUGAAUUAAAGACCAAAUAGCUGUAUCAGAG
rnacentral:lncRNA from 1 species